rnacentral:rRNA from 1 species
AACGGCCGUACCAUGCUGAAUAUACCGGUUCUCGUUAGAUCACCGAAGUUAAGCAUCAUUGGGCGCGGUCAGUACUUGGGUGGGUGCCCACCUGGGAACACCGCGUGCCGUU